rnacentral:rRNA from 1 species
CCUACGGGAGGCAGCAGUGGGGAAUAUUGCACAAUGGGCGCAAGCCUGAUGCAGCCAUGCCGCGUGUGUGAAGAAGGCCUUCGGGUUGUAAAGCACUUUCAGUCAGGAGGAAAGGUUAACGGUUAAUACCCGUUAGCUGUGACGUUACUGACAGAAGAAGCACCGGCUAACUCCGUGCCAGCAGCCGCGGUAAUACGGAGGGUGCGAGCGUUAAUCGGAAUUACUGGGCGUAAAGCGUACGCAGGCGGUUUGUUAAGCGAGAUGUGAAAGCCCCGGGCUCAACCUGGGAACUGCAUUUCGAACUGGCAAACUAGAGUGUGAUAGAGGGUGGUAGAAUUUCAGGUGUAGCGGUGAAAUGCGUAGAGAUCUGAAGGAAUACCGAUGGCGAAGGCAGCCACCUGGGUCAACACUGACGCUCAUGUACGAAAGCGUGGGGAGCAAACGGGAUUAGAUACCCCGGUAGUCCACGCCGUAAACGAUGUCUACUAGAAGCUCAGAGCCUCGGUUCUGUUUUUCAAAGCUAACGCAUUAAGUAGACCGCCUGGGGAGUACGGCCGCAAGGUUAAAACUCAAGGAAUUGACGG